rnacentral:rRNA from 1 species
GACGAGCGCUGGCGGCGUGCUUAACACAUGCAAGUCGAACGGAAAGGCCCUGCUUUUGUGGGGUGCUCGAGUGGCGAACGGGUGAGUAACACGUGAGUAACCUGCCCUUGACUUUGGGAUAACUUCAGGAAACUGGGGCUAAUACCGGAUAGGAGCUCCUGCUGCAUGGUGGGGGUUGGAAAGUUUCGGCGGUUGGGGAUGGAUUCGCGGCUUAUCAGCUUGUUGGUGGGGUAGUGGCUUACCAAGGCUUUGACGGGUAGCCGGCCUGAGAGGGUGACCGGCCACAUUGGGACUGAGAUACGGCCCAGACUCCUACGGGAGGCAGCAGUGGGGAAUAUUGCACAAUGGGCGGAAGCCUGAUGCAGCAACGCCGCGUGCGGGAUGACGGCCUUCGGGUUGUAAACCGCUUUCGCCUGUGACGAAGCGUGAGUGACGGUAAUGGGUAAAGAAGCACCGGCUAACUACGUG